UGUGGACAGAUGAUUCUCCCACCUACGGAUUUUCCAGGUAACUGUUUGUCUUUGGAGGAAGGAGAUUUGCCUUGAGGAGGCUGUGUACAAGGAAGGAGAGGAAGAUUGGAUUGGUGCUCUGAAGAUAGAGAAGGCUGUGAAUAAAAUCUGCAUUUUGAAGAUAGGGAAGACAAGAAGUCCUGUUCUUCAGGACAAUGGUGGCAGAAUGGGGCACAGAGAAGAGCACUGUCCCCAUUUCUGUGGCACCUGGGCCAGCACACCACCACUUCAAGUGUUUUCUGAAUUGGGGACAUGGGAGGAGGGAGUCCAGCAGUACCCUGGGGAGGAGGCCCUCCCCUCUCCCAUGAACCACUGGCACUGGAGGCACUGUGAGCUUGCCCCUAGAGGGUAUGCCAACAGCUGACUUGAAUCACUGCAAAGGAAGGGCAGAGGAUUCCUGCACUUGUGUGA
rnacentral:lncRNA from 10 species